UAUAGGUUUGGUCCCAGCCCUUCUAUUGGUUGCUAGCAAAACUACACAUGCAAGUAUCCGCGCCCCAGUGAGGAUGCCCCAUAAGUCACCCCACAUGACAAAAAGGAGCGGGUAUCAAGCACACUCCAAGUAGCUCACGACACCUUGCUCAACCACACCCCCACGGGAAACAGCAGUGAUAAAAAUUAAGCAAUAAACGAAAGUUUGACUAAGUUAUGCUUGCUAGGGUUGGUAAAUUUCGUGCCAGCCACCGCGGUCAUACGAUUAACCCUAAUCAAUAGAUUAACGGCGUAAAACGUGUUUAAGAGCCCCGAAUAAUAAAGUCAAACCCUAGCUACGCUGUAAAAAGCCUCAGCUACUGUAAGCCCUCCCACGAAAGUGACUUUAAACCAUCUGAACACACGACAGCUGAGGCCCAAACUGGGAUUAGAUACCCCACUAUGCUCAGCCCUAAACUCAAAGAAUUACCCUAACAAAAUUCUUCGCCAGAGUACUACUAGCUAAAGCUUAAAACUCAAAGGACUUGGCGGUGCUUCAUAUCCUUCUAGAGGAGCCUGUUCUAUAAUCGAUAAACCCCGAUAAACCUCACCAACCCUUGCCAACUCAGCCUAUAUACCGCCAUCUUCAGCAAACCCUAAAAAGGAAUUAUAGUAAGCUCAAAUACAAUACGUAAAAACGUUAGGUCAAGGUGUAGCCUAUGGGUUGGAAAGAAAUGGGCUACAUUUCCUACUAUCCAGGCCACUUCCUAUCAACGAAAGUCCCCAUGAAACCAAGGACUGAAGGUGGAUUUAGCAGUAAGUUAAGAAUAGAGUGCUUAACUGAAUAAGGCCAUGAAGCACGCACACACCGCCCGUCACCCUCCUCAAAUAACUACAGUAAGCAUAACCCUAUUAACACAUACUAUAACUACUAGAGGAGACAAGUCGUAACAAGGUAAGCGUACUGGAAAGUGUGCUUGGACAACA
rnacentral:ncRNA from 1 species